rnacentral:lncRNA from 1 species
CAGAAAGAUGGCGUUGGUGUGUGUGAGUGUGUUUGCAUGCCUGCAUUUAUAUUUGCAACUUAAGCUUAACCAUCACAUCCUCAUACUAUCACCUAAUACUGUCACUCUAAUGUUGUGAAUGUAAACAUUACCUUUUGUUUGGCAUCAGACUGAUUGUUGCAUCAGGAUAAAAGAGGAGCUGAAUUCAAGUGGACUGAAUAGAUGCAGCGGAUUGGCUGCAGCUAGUUUGUUGAACCUGUGUUUGGGAUCUUUUGCACUGGGCUCUUUGUCUUGCAUUUCCCCUAGCUUCUUUUCUCUUUACUUCUCUUUGCGGUUUCUUUUUGUUGAUGGUGAAAAUUGUGCAUCAAUGCAGUCUAAAGCUUCCUCAGUGAAGUGACCCGUGUUUAAAUGUUCUGGGGCUCUCUAGUUGAAUUGCUCAAACAAAUUGCUGUUGAUAUGAAGAUGUGGGGUGCUGUCCAUUGAGCAAGAGGUUUAUACACUUGGCAUUGCGUCAGUACUGCAAGGCAUAGAAUCGUCUGACCUGCAAAAAGUUAUGACUUUCACAAGUUGGGUAUCUCCUUUGAAUAGGUUCAUUUCCUAACACGUUACACAUUUGAUAUGCAUUUUGAAAUUACUUAUGCAAUGAAGCUUGGCAAGUAUUCAAUCAGAAAACCAUCAGUGAGGUUACUCAGACUUCUAUGUAGGUUUCUUUUUCCCUUCCAACUCAAACAGCUGACUGUGGGUGUUGUUACUGACAUCUUGUUGCUGUCAAAGAUUAAAAUCUGUUCCCUUCUUUACUUUCAGUAUGCAAAUAAGACAACUCUACUUCAUCCCUCCCACUCCAGAUCUCAACACAACUCGCAGAAACUGAGUGGACUCAGCAGCAAAAUUUAAACAGCCAUUACAAACAUUUUCCUUGAGAAGUAUAAUCUUUAGAAGCUUUAGCUCGACUAUUGAAUGAUUCUUUUAGUGGUAAAUGUAUUUAUAUAGCAUUUUAUCUAGCCUCCUGACUACAAAACACUUUUAUCUUUCAUGUCACAUUCACCCAUUCUCACCGCAUUCACACACUAAUGGCCAAGGCUGCUAAAGCACCCAUCAGUAGCUAUCCCAUUCACACACAGCUGGGUGCAGCCAGCAGGGGCAGUAUGGGGUGAAGUAUCUUACCCAAGGACACCUCAGCAUGUGGACAGGUGACCUGCGAUCAAACCCGACCUUCUGGAUAAGAGAUGACAGACUGUACCACUCAGUAUGUUUACAUGCAGAUAAGAAAAAAAAAACAUUGAUUUAUUGCUUUAGUCUGACUGAAACUGGAAUUUAACAGACGUGAACAUGUUAGCCUGAAUUAAAUCACACUAAAUAAAACUUCUCAUACUCAGACUAACCUACCUUAGAUAAUAAGGUUGGGGAUCAAUCUUCUCUUUAAUGUAUAUGGUUCAAUCAAACUUACCAAGCUCUGAGCUGGAAAGUCGAUAACAUGAAUGCAUUAGUAGGUGGGUGGGUAGUUAACAAAACCUUGACAGAUGAAGACGGGAGAUAAAAACUAGAAAAUGUUUGUAACAAACAGCCCAGAGCUGUAAAAGUGACUGUUUCCAUUGAUGCACAUCUCUUUAGUCUCUUGCUAAUGUACUUUGCUGUCUGUUUUCACGCAUGAUACGCCAACCUGAAGACAACCAAUGGUUACAAGCUGAAAGGGGGCAGUGGGAUCACCUAGUGGAGCUUUGACUGUAGAUCGAGCUAGCUGCAUGUACUGCCCCCUUUAAUGACUAGUAUGAGUAUGUGUGCAGCUGAUUUAUUCACUUCACAUACUUAAUUGCGCUAAUGAUACAUUCUUAAGUGGCACACGUCUCAUCACCAGAGACACCAGGUCUUAGCAUGUGCAUAACUUUACAUAUUACUAGACCUGGCUUUCUGUCUCUGGUUUUAAGUCUGUGGACUAUAGUUGAAGACAAUACUUUUGCAGGACUUCUCGUUCAUUUUGUUCUCGUUUCCUUUGAAGUCCUUGCUGAUUCGGGUCAACCGGCGCUGAAAAAAAAAAAAAAAUCUAUGUGUUCUGCCAGUGGUACUAGGGUAGCUGUCAGUCUUUGUUGUAAAAUAAGCCUGAAACAGAAUUUGCCUAUGAAAAGGGAACAUGCGUGAACUGUUUUAGUGCACUUUUGACCUCUGGAUCUCUUGCUUUUGUGAGACUUGGUGACAAAAUGUGCAGCACUCACAAAAUAAUGGAAAAGCAACACAGAAAAUGACUGUUACGUAACAUCAUGUGAGAAUAGAGAGGGAGAGAUGCCAAAAGACAGCUUUAUUCAUUCUCCUCCUCUCACUGUCCUUCAAUGUUCGUCCUGCUUCAGUCCUUUCUUGUCUCCAACUUGUUUAUUACACUACUUCUUCUUCAAACAAACUGCACUCUUUUCAUUUAACCUAUCUAACCUCUCAGUCUGUUUCUCCAGAACUCACCGCUUCUCAUAAAGGACUGAUCAUAGGUUCUCGGGCAACAUCUCUUUUCUUUUCCAGUGGCCUAACUGGACUGCAAAGUGGCUCUGUUCCCCCAAACUCCGACAACCAAUGGAACAAAAAGUUCAUAGACCUUUACGAGCCAUGGGGCCAAUUACUUUAGAGCCUCUUGUGCUGGAGUCAGUAGGCCAGAAAGAUAAUGGUUCAGAAGACUGACCUCUAGCCAUCCUAUCAACAGACCAUCCAGUGCUUGAGUGUGAGGUUUACUUUUCCAAUAAUCAUCCACUUUUGAGUCCACGACGUACAAAAAUAUGGGACAUGAUGUUUCAUCGAACAAGACAAAGUCUUUAUAGUCCAAAUAUUAUUUCACUUGAACUACUAAGAGUACCUAUUAUCAAACAAAAUAGAGCAAAAUACAACCCAAACUAAAACACCAACUCCUGCAGCAGCCCUCCACCCACAAGAUAUUGUCAAAGUUUCAUCCUCACCAAGCGUCUCCUCUCUGAUAAUGUUGUACUGGGUUACAUAAAAAAGACUUGACUCUGCCUGAAAAGAACAGAGUGUUUGCCAGCCACUUUGGGUGGCCGUACUUUUUAUGCAGGGCACUUCCUUUAAGCUUCUAAUGACGAGUGACCCUUGCGUGAAGGGAUUCUUAGAGACUAGGUCAGGCUUUUAGAGUCAGGGGAGUUCCUAGUGCACCAAGUCUAUCAUGCCUGGAAACCAGGCAAUCAACUUGUGUAUGAACAAACCCUCCAAACCCCACCAACCCUUUUUAAAGUACAUAAAGAAUAUUGUUUUUAAGCAGCAUGGGUUAUUGAGAGUUGUUAUGAUGGGCUGAUCAUUCAUCAUCAGCUGGUGACACAACAGUCAUAUGUUUGUCUUUCUUUUAAAUAAGGAAACCCAUUCAUGUUGUACGCUCGGCUGCAAAGUGACUCCAGGAGGGGACAAAGAGGUGUGAGUUGGUAUGCUGCAAGCAAAGUCCCAGGAGCAACCACUUUGACAAAAGGAACCAGACUGUUGACUCGAUUCAUAAAUCAAAUGGGGUCACUGCCUCUUUGAGGACUGAGACUUGACUUCCCACGAGACUUCAACCGACAAACACCUCGGGUGAAAGAAUUAAAAGUAUUUAGCCUUUAAGUUUAUCAAAAUUUGGAAAAGUACUACUGUGUUGUGAACUUGUGAAAACCAAAUCAGGACACGUGGGCCUACUUUUAGCAAGGUUUUAGAGUACAAGUUUAUAACUGUCUCUAUUUAAAAUAAAGAUUUUUGUUAAAUGGAGAUUUUAAAGACCUCCUAUCUGUAGCUUGGGAUGGAUUUGACCAAAGAUAUUUCAAGCAAGACCAUGAAACGCUUCUUGAUGGCCAAAUAGACAUUUUUGGAUCUCUGCAAUGCUGUUUUGUAUUCUGUUGAGGAACAAAAUCACACCAAAAUACCUUUCAUGAGCUGAUUUGGCUGUUUUUAAACAUGUGAUUGUGAUAGUGGCUAAAACUGUGGACUAAUCCUCAGAUAAAAAAAUAAUUUUUAAUGCUGCACACCCACAGACUGUAUGCUGAGUUCUUUUGUUGGUAGCUCGACAAAUUAAAAAGCUAUAUUAAAUUGAGAAUCAACCCCUUGAUUACUUGUUUUAAAACAAGAUUUUAUGCAAACUUUGCUUUGAUAUCUUGUGAAUCAGCUCUCUCACUGUGCUCUGUUCAAAGACUAUAAACCUGUUUGCUAGCAAAACUAGCCGCACACAACUUUGUUUCAAUGGGAAAAUUAUGGAUUUGUUAUAUCAUCUUAGAAGUAUGGUCAGAAUGAACAGUAGUGUGGG